CAUGAACCCAAACCCCUCCUUCUUACACCAGCUUCUGAGCCACUUGUUUACCUCCCUGAUCUCCUGCUGCCUCUCUGGUGUGGCUCGUGGUACAGGUGCAGCAACCAACAAAGAAUGGGGAUAACACGGCCCUGAACGGCAUUAGAUUAUAUUGUUCCUAUCCUGAUUCGACAGAUAAACAGGAGACAAUUACAUCUACAGUCGGAGGUGAGGGGACCUGGGGUGACGAGCAUUGGUG